rnacentral:rRNA from 1 species
CCUACGGGUGGCAGCAGUGAGGAAUAUUGGUCAAUGGACGCAAGUCUGAACCAGCCAAGUAGCGUGCAGGAUGACGGCCCUCCGGGUUGUAAACUGCUUUUAGUUGGGAAUAAAAGGGGGCUCGUGAGCCCCGUAUUGUAUGUACCAUCAGAAAAAGGACCGGCUAAUUCCGUGCCAGCAGCCGCGGUAAUACGGAAGGUCCGGGCGUUAUCCGGAUUUAUUGGGUUUAAAGGGAGCGUAGGCCGGCUUUUAAGUCAGCUGUGAAAGUCCGCGGCUCAACCGUAAAAUUGCAAUUGAUACUGGCAUUCUUGAGUACAGGUGAGGUAGGCGGAAUUCGUGGUGUAGCGGUGAAAUGCUUAGAUAUCACGAAGAACCCCGAUUGCGAAGGCAGCUUACUAAACUGUGACUGACAUUGAUGCUCGAAAGUGUGGGUAUCAAACAGGAUUAGAUACCCUUGUAGUC